AGGGCACCUGCCAAAUGCCAGCUCGAGCUCUCCUGUAUAAGCCUGCCGAAUGCCUGGGAUUCCAGGCAUGUGCUGCCACACCUGACUGGUUUUUGUAUUUUUGGUGGAGACGGGGUUUUGCCGUGUUGACUGGGCUGGUCUCCAGCUCCUGACCUCGAGUGAUCUGCCCGCCUCGGCCUCCCGAGGUGCUGGGAUUGCAGACGGAGUCGCGCUCAUUCAAUGCUCAAUGUUGCCCAGGCUGGAGUGCAGUGGCAUGAUCUCAGCUGGCUACAACCUCCACCUCCCAGCUGCCUGCCUUGGCCUCCCAAAGUGCUAAGAUCACAGCCUCUGCCUAGCCGCCACCCCGUCUAGGAAGUGAGGAGCGUCUCUGCCUGGCCGCCCAUUGUCUGGGAUGUCAGGAGACCCUCUGCCUGGCCACCCCAUCUGGGAAGUGAGGAUCGCCUCUGCCCAGCCACCACCCCGUCUAGGAAGUGAUGAGCGUCUCUGCCUGGCCGCCCAUCAUCUGGGAUGUGAGGAGCACCUAUGCCCGGCCGCCCCGUCUGGGAAGUGAGGAGUGCCUCUGCCCAGCCGCCACCCCAUCUGGGAGGUGAGGAGCAUCUCUGCCCAGCUGCCACCCCGUCUGGGAAGUGAGGAGUGCCUCUGCCCAGCCACCACCCCAUCUGGGAUGUGAGGGGCGCCUCUGCCCGGCUGCCACCCCAUCUGGGAAGUGAGGAGCGCUUCUGCCCGGCCGCCCUGUCUGGGAGGUGAGGAGCGCCUCUGCCCAGCCACCCCAUCGGGGAGGGGAGGAGUGCCUCUGUCCAGCCACCCUGUCUGGGAGGUGAGGAGCACCUCUGCCCGGCUGCCCUGUCUGGGAAGUGAGGAGCCCCUCUGCCUGGCCACCCAUCAUCUGGGAGGUGAGGAGUUCCUCUGCCCGGCCGCCCUUCAUCUGGGAGGUGAGGUGCGCCUCUGCCCAGCCACCCCACCUAGGAAGUGAGCGCCUCUGCCCAGCCACCCCGUCUGGGAGGUGAGGAGCGUCUCUGCCCAGCCACCCCUUCUGGGAGGUGAGGAGUGUCUCUGCCCGGCCGACCUGUCUGGGAAGUGAGGAGAACCUCUGCCCAGCUGCCUAUUGUCUGGGAAGUGAGGAGCACCUCUGCCUGGCCACCCCGUCUGGGAUGUGAGGAGCACCUCUGCCCGGCCGCCCCAUCUGGGAUAUGAGGAGUGCCUCUGCCCAGCCGCCACCCCGUCUGGGAAGUGAGGAGCACCUCUGCCUGGCCACUGUGCAAUCUUCCAAGUGUGAAGUGACAGCCUUUCUGCAGGUGUACCCAACAGCUCUGAAGAGACAGCAACCAUUGAGAUCGGGCCAUGACAAUGGCGGUUUUGUCGAAAAGAAAAGGGGGAAAUGUGGGUAAAAGAAAGAGAGAUCAGGUUGUUACUGUGUCUGUGUAGAAAGAAGUAGACAUAGGAGACUCCAUUUUGUUCUGUACUAAGAAAAAUUCGUCUGCCUUGGGAUGCUGUUAAUCUAUAACCUUACCCACAACCCCGUGCUCUCUGAAACAUGUGCUGUGUCAACUCAGGGUUAAAUGGAUUAAGGGCGGUGC
rnacentral:lncRNA from 1 species